UCCCGGCCCUGCCCUCACGGGCGGAGCGCCCGCCGGAGGAUACCAAACUCUAUUUUAACGACGUUUCUUCUGAGUGGCACAAGCAAAUAAUUAAAACUUUCAACAACGGAUCUCUUGGUUCUGGCAUCGAUGAAGAACGCAGCGAAAUGCGAUAAGUAAUGUGAAUUGCAGAAUUCAGUGAAUCAUCGAAUCUUUGAACGCACAUUGCGCCCGCCAGCAUUCUGGCGGGCAUGCCUGUUCGAGCGUCAUUUCAACCCUCAAGCUCUGCUUGGUGUUGGGGCCCUACGGUUGACGUAGGCCCUUAAAGGUAGUGGCGGACCCUCUCGGAGCCUCCUUUGCGUAGUAACUAACGUCUCGCACUGGGAUUCGGAGGGACUCUUGCCGUAAAACCCCCAAAUUUUUAAAGGUUGACCUCGGAUCAGGUAGGAAUACCCGCUGAACUUAAGCAUAUCAAUAG
rnacentral:rRNA from 1 species